rnacentral:rRNA from 1 species
UACAGAGGGUGCGAGCGUUGUCCGGAAUCACUGGGCGUAAAGGGCGCGUAGGCGGCGGGGUAAGCGUGUGGUGAAAGCUCGGAGCUCAACUCCGAGUCGGCCAUGCGAACUGCUUCGCUCGAGCACUGUAGAGGCAGGUGGAAUUCCGGGUGUAGCGGUGGAAUGCGUAGAGAUCCGGAAGAACACCGGUGGCGAAGGCGGCCUGCUGGGCAGUAGCUGACGCUGAGGCGCGACAGCGUGGGGAGCAAACAGG